GUAGGUGAACCUGCGGAAGGAUCAUUACCGAGAAUUGGGUCGUCCGUGCCUCGUGCCCGGCGCCCGACCUCCCAACCCUGUGUCUACCCAACCGACCCAUGUUGCUUCGGCGGACCGGCCUCGUCCCUGCCCUCCUCGCGGGGGGGAGAGACGGUGGCCGCCGGGACCGUCACACGUCCUGGAGCGCCGUCCGCCGACGGCCCAACCGAAAAAUUCUUGUCGUAACCUGUCGUCUAAACAUAUUUUUAUUAUGUAAACCAAAAAAUUUACAAGCAAAACUUUCAACAACGGAUCUCUUGGUUCUG
rnacentral:misc_RNA from 1 species